rnacentral:rRNA from 1 species
UACGAAGGAGGCUAGCGUUGUUCGGAAUCACUGGGCGUAAAGCGCACGCAGGCGGAUUGAUAAGUCGGGGGUGAAAUCCCGGGGCUUAACCUCGGAAUUGCAUUCGAUACUGUCUGUCUUGAGUUCGGGAGAGGUUGGCGGAAUUCCUAGUGUAGAGGUGAAAUUCGUAGAUAUUAGGAAGAACACCAGUGGCGAAGGUGGUCAACUGGCCCGAAACUGACGCUCAUGUGCGAAAGCGUUGGGAGCAAACAGG